GCUGGUAACCACAGCGGAGGAGCCACACCCGAUCCCAUCCCGAACUCGGUAGUUAAGACCUCCAGCGCCGAUGGUACUGCAGUUAAGACUGUGGGAGAGCAGGUCGUUGCCAGCC
rfam:Lentisphaera araneosa HTCC2155 1101329224544, whole genome shotgun sequence.